GCUGGUGUAGUUUAGAUUGUGCUAUCCCAGAUACUCCAUCAUUAUGAAGCCUUGCCACGACUCCUUCAAUCUCUGCAGUUCUUUGUGAUAACGUAGCGAGGGCAUUCAUAAUAGCAUCUAACUUAGACUCCGAACUUUCUGUCAUACUAAUGUCUUGACCUCCGGCCAUUCUAAAAGAAGGACAAAAAUGACCCUAUAAGAGGCAAUAUUGGUUUAUAGGAGGAUAAUCCACAACCUAUAAAACGCCUUAAGAAUUUCAAGAAGAGGGGUAAUCCACUCUCUCCAAGAAGAAUAAGACUCCAAUAUUGUAACAGAAGAAGUAUCAGUUUAGAGGAGGGUAAUCCGCAACCUCUAAAAAAUGCUAGUAUACCUUCAAGUAGAGAGAUAAUCCACACUCUACUAAGAAAGAACUAGCUCUGAUAUCUGAAGUUAGUGGAGUCUCGACAAACUAUCACGGACACAAAAUACAGACUUAAAAUCUAACAAGAAGUUCAAGAAGAAGUGGCAGAACUAGAUUAAACAGAUGAGUACAAGAACAACACCAGAAAGGUGAGCUAGAACUCCAAGAAAUG
rnacentral:lncRNA from 1 species